GGCUACCUUUCUCUGGUAGCAACAUCCCUGCUGUGGGUGAGUGUAGGGGAAUCUUGAAGAGAAGUGUUUACUGUAAGUUUUCUUGGAUUUGGCAGCUACUUUCAUCCAGCAGCAAGGAACCGCUGUGGAGGUUAAGAUAAAGGAAAGGAAAAGCUAUAGCAAAGGAAGGCGACAAGGAGGUGUUAGAUGAUGUGU